rnacentral:rRNA from 1 species
UACGUAGGCACCAAGCGUUGUCCGGAUUUAUUGGGCGUAAAGAGCUCGUAGGCGGUUCAGUAAGUCGGGUGUGAAAACUCAGGGCUCAACCUUGAGCUGCCACCCGAUACUGCUGUGACUUGAGUUCUGGUAGGGGAGUGGGGAAUUCCUGGUGUAGCGGUGAAAUGCGCAGAUAUCAGGAGGAACACCGGUGGCGAAGGCGCCACGUCUGGGCCACGACUGACGCUGAGGAGCGAAAGCAUGGGUAGCAAACGGG